rnacentral:ncRNA from 1 species
AUGUUGUUGCGAUAGUAAUCCUGCUCAGUACGAGAGGAACCGCAGAUUCAGACAUUUGGUUCAUGUGCUUAGCCGAUCAGCCAAUGGCGAGAAGCUACCAUCUGAGGGAUUAUGACUGAACGCCUCUAAGUCAGAAUCCCACCUAGACAAGGCAACGAUAAAUUUGCUUCCAGGAUUCGGAAAGGACUUUUAUCUAAUUAACGAUUUAUUCGUUUUUUUUUUUUUUUUAUGGCUAAUGCCCCAUUAUAUGAUCUUGCUAUGUUAAUUAUGUAACAUGUAAAUUUUUUCACAUCCGAUAUGCUAAUCAUUACAAAAAUU